CAGAGUUGCAAAACUCCCACAAACCAUCGCGAAUCUUACCCGUACGGUUGCCUCGGCGCUGGCGGUCCGGAAGGCCCUCGGGCCCCCCGGAUCCUCGGGUCUCCCGCUCGCGGGAGGCUGCCUGCCGGAGUGCCGAAACCAAACUCUUGAUAUUUAUGUCUCUCUGAGUAAACUUUUAAAUAAGUCA
rnacentral:misc_RNA from 1 species